rnacentral:rRNA from 1 species
CAAGAGCGUAUGUAAAAGUUGUUGCAGUCAAAAAGCUCGUAGUUGAACCUUGGGUUUGGUUGGCCGGUCCGCUUUUUUGCGAGUACUGGAUUCAACCGAGCCUUUCCUUCUGGCUAACCAGUCGUUUCGGCGGCUGGCGAACCAGGAUUUUUACUUUGAGAAAAUUAGAGUGUUCAAAGCAGGCAUUAGCUUGAAUAUAUUAGCAUGGAAUAAUAGAAUAGGACGUUAUGGUUCUAUUUUGUUGGUUUCUAGGACCAUCGUAAUGAUUAAUAGGGACGGUCGGGGGCAUCAGUAUUCAGUUGUCAGAGGUGAAAUUCUUGGAUUUACUGAAGACUAACUACUGCGAAAGCAUUUGCCAAGGACGUUUUCAUUAA